CUGGGAAAUAAUUAGCCCUGUCUUUCAUUCCUUUCUCUACCAUACUUCCACUAACCAAAUCUUCUAUCUCUAUUACCCUAAGGAAUCAAUCAUAUUCUUUUUUCUAAUUUUCCAUUCUCUUUAGUACUUAACCAAGUAGAAUGUCCCCUGACUCCUAAUGUGUUUGUCUUUGAACCUUAAAACUGUACGGGAGCCCCCCAAAACCCUCUCUAAGCUUUCAUCCUUUAAUCAAGUACUUUUUCUUUUCAUUUUCUGAGUUUACACUGGGAUUUAUGGAGUAUUCUGUCAUGCACUGACACGAAAAGAAACAAAGAAAUCUGGUUUCUGCCUUCAAGGGUCUUCUGUCUCUCAUUGUCUUAGUUCAGGCUGCUAUAACAGAGUGCCAUAGACUGGGUGGCUUAAAUAACAAACUUUUUUUUCUCAUAGUUCUGGAGGUUGGAAGUUCAACACUAGGGUUCCAGUAUGGUUGGGUUCUUUUUGAAGUCCUUUUUUCUGGUUUUUACAGAUGGCUGUCUUCUUGUAUCCUUACAUCGUGGGGCGGGGGGCGGGGGGGGGGGGGUGUGGCAGCGGGGAGGGAGAAAGAAAGAGAAGAGGAAGCUCUCUAGUGUUUCUUCUUAUAAGGCACUGAUAUCAUUCAGGAGAGCUCAAUCCUCACAUCCUAAUCACCUCGCAGCGGCCCCACCUCCUAACGCCAUCAUAUUGAGGUGUGAGAUUUUAACACACAAAUUUUGUGGAGACACAUUCAGUCCACAGCACGUGAAUACACUUGCUGCCUACUAACUCCUUUGUUCUUACCCAGCCCCUACCUCAGUCUUUACUUGGCUUUUCUUGUUGAAUCAUUCAUUUCCCACAAAACAAUCUGCAACUGAUCUGGUGUUGACUUUGCACCCUGUUGUGUUUCUACCCAAAGAAUCCUUUUCCCAUCACACACAAUCACCUGAUUUACACAUUUGCCCAAUUAUUCAUUUAUCAAAAAUCAAGACCCUGGGCCUACCCUGUGCCAACACUGCUCUGGACACCGAGUCCAUGGUGGCAAACUGCAUGGCCUCUGCUGUCACAGAGCUUACUGCAUUGGUGGAGACAGGUGGCCAACAAACAAAGGUAUACUUAUAAUUACAUAUUACACAAAGUGCUUUAAAAAAAAAAAAAAAGCAAGCUGCCAUAUGAGAGAAUAACAAAGAAGGUGAAAUUCAGUUUGGAGCCAGUGUAGGACACGACACCAAUUCUAGAACUUAAAACAGGAGCAGGGCUAUCCAGGCAAAGGAGGGAGAGGAGUCUUUUUGGCAGAGCCCCACCUAUGGGAAGCCCAGAGAUAGAAAAGAAGUUGGAGUGUUUUAAGGAUUGAAAGAAAGGCAAUGUGACAGAGACACCAAGAGAAUAGCAAUAAGAGAUGAAGAUAGGGACUGGAAGGGGAGGGGAGGUGAUGGCAGAAUAUCCAAAGCUUUCUGAAAAGGAAACCUACAGAAGGGUUUUAACAUGGGAGGGACAUGUUCUGACUUAUGUUUUAAAGUUCAUUUUGCUGUGGGAAGAAAGAAUUAGAGGCUGAUAAGAAUGGAAGCAGAAGGAGACUAAUUAGAAAACUACUGUUACAUUCCCAAGGAAUAAAGGUAGCUUGGACCAGGGUGAAGAUGUGUGAUGGAGAAGAUCAAAAAGUCUCUCUAGAGCUGGGCUCAGCUCAAGGCCAAAUAAGGAGGACUUAAGAAGGGCCACGGAAAAAUUGAAUGAAUGGGGAAAAAAGCAAAGCUGAAUUGCUACUGGAGUUAAAAGGAGCUACUGUUGGUGGAAAGAAGUCAGGCCUGCUGGUGUUUUACCAUAACAAAUAUCUGAAGUAAUCUCCAUACCUUCAGAUCUCCUUGUGGCUGCAAUAGCUCUGCAUAUGGAACUAGCCAUCUACCAAAUUAUUUCCUUUCUCAACAAACGUCACUCACAGCCCUAUUAUGACUGGAAGUCUUUUUAAUAAAACUGCCUGUGAAGAUUGCAAAAUAAACCUAUGGAGCAGCGUCCUCACUACUUCCAUCUGUUCUUCCACAAAUUUCUCUCCCUUUUCCACAGAGCAGGUUUGUAUUUCCAAGAAGGUGUAUCUUCAGGAGUUCUAAUAAAGAACAGCUGAAUGCAGCAAUCUUUGCCGUCAAUACAGCCAACCUUCAAGGAAUCACUUUUCACAAAUGAUCUGACGUGGAGGUACUCCUUUCUUAGAAUGUAUCUUUCUAGUCAGGGCAUUAGGUAUUUUUUAAUUCAAGUUAGAAAUCAGGACUCAUCUUACACUUUCUACUUGAGUCUUUCCUGCAGGUUGUAUCCUCUAUAUUAAGAGUAUGCGUAGCUUAUCUGUCUUUUAGGCAAAUAGCCAUCUUGUUCCCACCCAAGGUGAGAGUCCAUUUUAGUUCAGGAAAAAAUAACUUUAAAUUGAUCGAGAGGGAGAUUGUUGUAGAAGAGAGGCAGAAUUCCUUAGCUAGAGGAGAGAUUCACAAUCCUGUGAAUUGAGUAGACACAGAAGGCCUGGUCCUGGCUAAACGGAAUGCUGGGAGCUCAUGCCAGGGAGGGGUGGUGUGCAGAGGGACUGGGUUGGAAUCCAGGUGGCUGAAUUCAUGGGAGCGUGGCAAAAUCAGGUCCUGUUCCACUCAGGCUCAAUUUCUAAAACCUACAUGACUCCUAGGGGGUCUUCUCAAUGUACAGAUUCUGAUUCAACAGAUCUGGGAUGGGUCCUGAGCUUCUGCACUUUUCACAAGCUCCCAGAUGAUGUCCGUGUUGCUAGUCCACAGACCACACUUUGAAUAGCAAGGGCAUAAGGAAUCUAACUCUAGAGUUCAAAUGUAUGUGGGGUGAAGGUUUUGAGUACAAUGUAUGCUAUGUAUAUUCAUUUGGAGUCUAAAUCAUUCAUUGGUGCUCAUGGGGGAUGACGAUGUACGGGAUUUCUAGAGUCCAGACUCAGUAAAGGAGCUACAAAGACUUGGGAAAAAGGUCAAAUUCCCUAGUGGACAUGCUGGGGUCAGCUGAGAGAAACUUGAUAGAGGACAUUGGCUCCACCUACCCAGGAAUAAGAGUGGGUUAGCCAGCCCUGAGUCAGGGGAAGAGGAGCACCAGAGAACUAAGCCUCAUACAGUGGAGGGGCUGAGAGCAUGGACUCAGCUGCCAGGGAAACUGGACAGGAAUCUUGGCUCCAUAAUUCCGAGCCUCUGUUUUUUCUUCUGUAAAAACUUACAUUAUGGGCUUGUUGAAAGCACUAAAUAAGAUAGUCCAUGUGUUCUGGGUUCUGGUCCCUGAAAAACAGACUCUGAGAUGAUGAUCUUUAUGGAAGUGGUUUAUUACACAGUGCCCCCUCGCAAAAUCCACAGGGGAGAAGGGAAGUGGGACAUAGAAAGGGAAGGAAGCCAAGCAAGGGUGCAAUAGGAAGCAAAGUUCUGUGAGUGUAACUUUAGCUCAGUCAUGCAAGGAAACACUGGAGAGUAAAUCACAAAACUAGGGUUAUCCCAAACUAGAAGCAGGGUAGCUGGACUAUUUAUACCCUCACACGCAUCAGUCAUUAAGGGAUACUCCCUGAGGGAUGUAAAUUCCUAAGCUCUUGCAGCUGUCUGCAUACACAAGAAAAGCUGAAGUUCUGGAUCUUGAGGGAAGUCCUCGGACAGAGUUGGGGACUGACUGUCCUGAAAAGAAGCACAUCUGAAACUGUAUGCACGACUGGUAACCGGCAAAGGAUUGAGGGCAUGUGAGAGGUGCUCUGAGAGUAUCUGCUAAAUUAUGGAAAGAGUUUUAGCAUGAUCUGUGCCAAUCCUAACCCACUGGUAAAAUCUCCCUUUAUUAUAUACAGUGUAUACAUAAACAUUAUCUAUGAAGACAAAAAAGGACAAGAAGAGCAGGUAUCUAUCUCAUGGCACACUGGACAGUGGGACUAGAAGAAGCAGAUUAUUCUGGGGUCGACUUUGCAAAUGCAACACAUUAUUAGGGAAACUGGGAUCCAGUUACUGAGUGGCCUAAAUGACCAGAAAUCCCAAAGAUCCACCUAUUACUGUUGACAGAGAAGAAAAGUCAUGAAAGUUCCUUUCAGUCCUGUGAUUGCUGGGCACUGAUUCUGCACUGAAGAUGUGUUUCUAGAUGUGAGUGGCCAUACUUUAUUGCUUGUGGCUUAUGGAAUGGAUAACCUCCGUGGGCUCCAUUUGCUAAUCUUUAAGAAGAAAGGAAGAGGAAGAAGGAAGAAAGUCAAAAGGAUGAAAGAACAAAAGGAGCUCCCCACAGAAAGACAGACUCUUUUGCCAGCACAUUUAAGAAUCUAAAUGAGGCCAAGUGCCAAGCAGAUAAAGGGACUCUACUUGCUGCAUAGUAAAUAAAAUGGAGGCAGGAGGACGCCUGCAUCAAACAAUACUUUCUGAGGGGAUGACAACAAGAUUUCAGAGAAUUCAGAUCCUGACUUUCCUGCCUCACCAGGUACAACCCAAGUCACCAGAGCUCAUAAAAGAUGUGUGUGCUGUCGCAUCUAUGUGAAGUAUUUCCAUGACCCGAGCAUUGACUACAGGACUGUGCUGGAGGAAACUGGAUCAAGGUACCAAGAUGGGUGCCGUUGACAACACAGAGAGAAGAGAGAACCUAAACAAUGAAACAAGUCCCCUGCCCACGUGCUGUCAGACACUGGAGAAAAGAACAAAACCAAAGAAAAGCCACUGAGCAAACACAAUGGCCUUGUCUUCUACCUUUCUUGUGGCACAAUGCAGGACUGGACAGCACUGUCCUCCCCGCCCCCAUCUCCUUCCCUCCCUCUACUCUCACCCCCCUCCACCAGCCUUCCUGCUCCCAAAGCACAUUACUGACUAGCAGCUUGCCAGUCCAGAUUGUAGUUUUAAUCCACCAACUAGUAUUGCAGCUCAUAGAAUGGCUUUGGAUUUAUGAAACAGUCUGAGGGGAAAUAAAGUGCCCUAGUUUGUAGAUAAUAAAAGCUAAGAGUGGUGCAUCCAGGGAGAGAGGUGGGGUGCCAGGGGUUCUUAGGAAGGUAGUGGUACCACCCACUGCCAGAGUCUCUUUUGAAUUGGCUUUAUCCAGGAGUCCCAAAAGCCCUUUAAACUACUUCAUGGUAGCCUUUGACAGAGAACUCUUUGGCAGUGACUUGGAGAGGGUUUAUGAAGACAGUGCUCAGGCUUUGGUCAUGACACAGGCAGAUUGGGGAUGGAGUGGUACAUGUUUGAUUGCAGUGUGUGUUGAGGGGCAAGGGGGCAGGUCUUGGUACAAUGACAGCUAGCAUGAGACCUUGAACUCAACAUGGAUUUUAAAAGUGUUUGUUUAAUGCAUGAAUAAAAUAAUGCUCAUGAUAUUUUGUGGUCUUUAGUGACCAAUCAUAGUAGACGUCUUAGAAUUACCAAGCCCUAAGGAAUACUAAAACCCAGUCUAAUAAACUCAGUAAAACCAAGAGUGGACUCUAAUGUAAACUGUGGACUUUUGGAUGUACCUCUCUGGUGGGGAAUGUUGAUAAUGGAGGAGGCUAAGGCUUGUGUGGGGGUGGCGAACACAUGGAAAAUCUCUGUAUCUUUUGCUUAUUUUUCUGUGAACCUAAAACUGAUCUAAAAAAAAAGUAUAUAAAAAAUUCAUAGCCACAUAAAUUGGCAGUCAGAUCUGGUGAUUCAGCUGAACCUUUAUCUAAGUAUAUAGAAAAGAACACAUAUUUUCUGAUGUUUGAAAAAAUUGCUGUUUUACCUUGAAACUAAUAAAACAAAAUUGGCACAACUUAUUUUUUAAAUGCAGUAAAAAUACUUAGUCUGUCCUACAGCCUAUAUUCAUCUACUGUGGACAUCAUUUCCUCGCCAUGAAAUUUCCGUGGAAUCUAUAGGAGGCAAACCUGGGAUUAAAGCCUGAAUUUGCCAUUUAAUAAUGAGAAAACCUUGGAAAAGUCUGUCUAUCUGGAUGACUGUCAGUCCAGCAGAGACAUAGAAAUGUGCCAUAAAUAACCGAAUGCAUCACAAAAACAGAACAGGAGCUAUGAGUGUUACUGAAGGCUUGAUUUGAGUUCUCACCUGAGAAACGGACACCCCCUAGCCCACUCCCACAGUUCACACUGGUUCUUCUACCUACAAGCCGAGUCUUCACUUUCUUAAAAGGGGACGUGGACAUGAAUUGACUAGGCCACACAUUUAUCAAUUUGAAGCCAUUACUUUGCUUCACAGAUGUAGAAGCCCCAUUUCUCGACAAAGAAGAGGAAAGAAAGAGGAAAAAUGAAGGAAUAAAUGAUAGAAGUAAAGAAGAAUGUAAAUAAACUUUCUGGUCUACACAGAAUAAAAGGAUCCAGUCUAGCCAACUAGACAAAAGUUAGUUUCUCAAUAUUAACAUGCCUGUUGCCUCUCUUCUGUUUCCAGCCCUGGAAUAAUAAGUUUCACUUUUUCAUUUCUUCACCCAAAAUAAAACUUGAACUUCUCACUUCCUCAUCUUUUCAUUUGCAGAUCUCAAAAGCAGCCUCUUCCACAUCUACCCUUGGGGCAUGUCUGGCCCACUCCCCUACGGCCUUGAAUGUCACAAGAAGUUCUUAAAUGUGUUCAGUUGCAAAUAUAUUU